rnacentral:rRNA from 1 species
AUUGAACGCUGGCGGAAUGCUUUACACAUGCAAGUCGAGCGGCAGCGCGGGGGCAACCCUGGCGGCGAGCGGCGAACGGGUGAGUAAUACAUCGGAACGUGUCCUUAAGUGGGGGAUAGCUCGGCGAAAGCCGGAUUAAUACCGCAUAAGCUCUGAGGAGGAAAGCGGGGGCUCCGUAAGGACCUCGCGCUGUUGGAGCGGCCGAUGUCGGAUUAGCUAGUUGGUGGGGUAAAGGCCCACCAAGGCGACGAUCCGUAGCUGGUCUGAGAGGAUGAUCAGCCACACUGGAACUGAGACACGGUCCAGACUCCUACGGGAGGCAGCAGUGGGGAAUUUUGGACAAUGGGGCAACCCCGAUCCAGCCAUUCCGCGUGAGUGAAGAAGGCCU